CCUACGGGAGGCAGCAGUCGAGAAUCAUUCACAAUGGGGGAAACCCUGAUGGUGCGACGCCGCGUGGGGGAAUGAAGGUCUUCGGAUUGUAAACCCCUGUCAUGUGGGAGCAAAUUAAAAAGAUAGUACCACAAGAGGAAGAGACGGCUAACUCUGUGCCAGCAGCCGCGGUAAUACAGAGGUCUCAAGCGUUGUUCGGAAUCACUGGUCGGAAAGCGUGCGUAGGCUGUUUCGUAAGUCGUGUGUGAAAGGCGCGGGCUCAACCCGCGGACGGCACAUGAUACUGCGAGACUAGAGUAAUGGAGGGGGAACCGGAAUGCUCGGUGUAGCAGUGAAAUGCGUAGAUAUCGAGAGGAACACUCGUGGCGAAGGCGGGUUCCUGGACAUUAACUGACGCUGAGGCACGAAGGCCAGGGGAGCGAAAGGGAUUAGAUACCCGGGUAGUC
rnacentral:rRNA from 1 species